GAGGCUGGGUGGAGCGGAUACAUUUUGUAAACUGGAUUCCCUUAUUCAACAAAGUGCUUAGUGAAUCAGUUGACAGCAAUGCCAGGGUCCUCUGAGGACAGGGCCUUCCUGGAGGUCACUUGAGCCACUUGCCCCAAGGUGGUUUUCAGGGGAGUGUGCCCAGCGCUCGCUGCCUGUCUGCAGCUGGGCAGAGCAGCCCCUCUUCCGCGUCCAGCUCCACCUGGCUGCCCUGCCACGGCCCCAGCGGGCAACCCCCUUGUCCUUGACGCCCCUUACUGCCUGCUGCAGCUGGGCCUCAGGGAGAACAGCUGCAGAUGGCCUCCCACCCCCACCCCCCACCAACAGAGGAGUGCCGGAUCACACCCUGUCACGCCAGGAUUUUAUUUUCAAUCAGAGCGCCUACAGAGAACUAAGCCUACCGUAACCAGUGUGAGCAGACAGGGAUUUACUAUGGGGGGUGACCUCCCUCCAAUAGGAGCUUGA
rnacentral:lncRNA from 1 species